rnacentral:rRNA from 1 species
AGUGGCGGGCGGGUGAGUAACGCGUAAGAAUCUAACUUCAGGACGGGGACAACAGUUGGAAACGACUGCUAAUACCCGAUGUGCCGCAAGGUGAAACCUAAUUGGCGUGGAGAAGAGCUUGCGUCUGAUUAGCUAGCUGGUGGGGUAAAGGCCUACCAAGGCGACGAUCAGUAGCUGGUCUGAGAGGAUGAGCAGCCACACUGGGACUGAGACACGGCCCAGACUCCUACGGGAGGCAGCAGUGGGGAAUUUUCCGCAAUGGGCGAAAGCCUGACGGAGCAACGCCGCGUGAGGGAGGAAGGUCUUUGGAUUGUAAACCUCUUUUCUCAAGGAAGAAGUUCUGACGGUACUUGAGGAAUCAGCCUCGGCUAACUCCGUGCCAGCAGCCGCGGUAAUACGGGGGAGGCAAGCGUUAUCCGGAAUUAUUGGGCGUAAAGCGUCCGCAGGUGGUCAGCCAAGUCUGCCGUCAAAUCAGGUUGCUUAACGACCUAAAGGCGGUGGAAACUGGCAGACUAGAGAGCAGUAGGGGUAGCAGGAAUUCCCAGUGUAGCGGUGAAAUGCGUAGAGAUUGGGAAGAACAUCGGUGGCGAAAGCGUGCUACUGGGCUGUAUCUGACACUCAGGGACGAAAGCUAGGGGAGCGAAAGGGAUUAGAUACCCCUGUAGUCCUAGCCGUAAACGAUGGAUACUAGGCGUGGCUU